AUUGAACGCUGGCGGCAGGCCUAACACAUGCAAGUCGAGCGGAUGAAGGGAGCUUGCUCCUGGAUUCAGCGGCGGACGGGUGCGUAAUGCCUAGGACUCUGCCUGUGAGUGGGGGAUGACGUCCGGAAACGGGCGCUAAUACCGCAUACGUCCUGCGGGAGAAAGUGGGGGAUCUUCGGACCUCACGCUCUCAGAUGAGCCUAGGUGGGAUUAGCUAGUUGGUGGGGUAAAGGCCUACCAAGGCGACGAUCCGUAACUGGUCUGAGAGGAUGAUCAGUCACACUGGAACUGAGACACGGUCCAGACUCCUACGGGAGGCAGCAGUGGGGAAUAUUGGACAAUGGGCGAAAGCCUGAUGCAGCCAUGCCGCGUGUGUGAAGAAGGUCUUCGGAUUGUAAAGCACUUUAAGUGGGGAGGAAGGGCAGUAAGUUAAUACCUUGCUGUAUUGACGUUACCAACAGAAUAAGCACCGGCUAACUUCGUG
rnacentral:rRNA from 1 species